AUUGAACGCUGGCGGCAUGCCUUACACAUGCAAGUCGAACGGUAGGGGGAGCAAUCCCCUGAGAGUGGCGAACGGGUGAGUGAAGCAUCGGAACGUGCCCAGUUGUGGGGGAUAACUACUCGAAAGAGUGGCUAAUACCGCAUACGACCUGAGGGUGAAAGCGGGGGACCGAAAGGCCUCGCGCAGUUGGAGCGGCCGAUGUCAGAUUAGCUAGUUGGGGGGGUAAAGGCCCACCAAGGCGACGAUCUGUAGCUGGUCUGAGAGGACGACCAGCCACACUGGGACUGAGACACGGCCCAGACUCCUACGGGAGGCAGCAGUGGGGAAUUUUGGACAAUGGGCGCAAGCCUGAUCCAGCCAUGCCGCGUGCAGGAAGAAGGCCUUCGGGUUGUAAACUGCUUUUGUCAGGGAAGAAAUCCCUUGGGUUAAUACCUCGGGGGGAUGACGGUACCUGAAGAAUAAGCACCGGCUAACUACGUGCCAGCAGCCGCGGUAAUAC
rnacentral:rRNA from 1 species